rnacentral:tRNA from 2 species
GGCUGUAGCUCAGUGGUAGAGCAUGCGCUUAGCAUGUUCAAGUCCCCUGGGAUCAAUUCCCAGCACUACCA